rnacentral:rRNA from 1 species
CUGGCUCAGGAUGAACGCUGGCGGUAUGCUUAACACAUGCAAGUCGAACGAACGUUUUCGGACGUUAGUGGCGGACGGGUGAGUAACGCGUGAGAAUCUACCUUCAGGUUGGGGAUAACAGACGGAAACGACUGCUAAUACCCAAUAUACCGAGAGGAGAAAGGCUAGCUGCCUGAAGAUGAGCUCGCGUCCGAUUAGCUAGUUGGUGAGGUAAGGGCUUACCAAGGCGAUGAUCGGUAGCUGGUCUGAGAGGAUGAUCAGCCACACUGGGACUGAGACACGGCCCAGACUCCUACGGGAGGCAGCAGUGAGGAAUAUUGGUCAAUGGGCGAAAGCCUGAACCAGCGACGCCGCGUGGGUGAAGAAGGGUCUUCGGGAUCGUAAAGCCCUUUUCUGUGUGACGAGGGAAGGGACGGGUAGCACAGGGAAUAAGUCUCGGGCUAACUACGUGCCAGCAGCCG